rnacentral:ncRNA from 1 species
CACGGACCCGCCACGGCGGGUGGCUUCUCCGGGCGCCUAUCCCCCGGCCACAA